rnacentral:lncRNA from 1 species
UUUCUAAACCCAUUGAACAUAAUGAUCCAACGCCAUCUCCCAAUCUUGAAUUCCUUGUAUUCGGAGCAGAGGAAGAUGAUGUUGAAAGGGAUUCCUGAUGAGAUUACCCGCCUUCUUGAGCACAAAGGAAGCUCAUUCAGCUGUAUCAUGAGAAUCAGCAAAACAGUCAAACUGGGGCAUUACAAAUGUAAUGUAAAAAAAAGGAAAGAAAGAAAGAGGGUGAAAAAUGAAAAAAAAUCAAAAAUCAGGAAAAAAAUUUCAAAAUUUUUCAAAAGAAAGAAGAAAAAGUAUACCCUCAAGUCCCUAGUUGAUUGAUGCUGAAUGGAUUCAGAGUCGUUAUGACCUGCUGAAUCUGAUUG